UGGGGACACACAAGGUCAACCCUGACUCUAUUGGAAUGGAAAGGAGGAUAAUCCUCAGGACGAGCUCCACUACCUCCCAGGGGUAGCUUAAGCCACACUGCCAAAGUGGGUUUCAGAAUUACAGCACUGACUUCUCUGUGAGCAUCAGAAUACGCUCUUCACUCCUCAGCCACAUCAGCCAAGGAGCCCAGCACCCCCACCCCCCAUCCCCCCAUGACUCUACGGUUCUCAUUCCAUCCUCUGGCCGCCACUCUCUGCUCGCUCUCUCUGUCAUCUCAAGCCUGGGUCACUGCUACACUGGUCUUCUACUCUGCCGACUGUUGUGCCAGGUCACCUCCUUCCCAGUCCCCAUUCAUGCCGGAGCAUGGUCCAGAUCAAGUCUCACGGAGCACCGCCU